AGGCAACCACCUUUUGUAAUCGCUCAAAUGGUAGGUGUUGUUCUGUUCGCAAAUAAAUUUCUUUUGCUCUUCAGAUUUGUUGAGAUUUAUUAUGGUCAAUGAAGCUGGUCUAGUAAGCAAAUGUACAUU
rnacentral:snoRNA from 1 species